UAUAUACUAAUUAAAACCUAUGCUCUAUGUUGAAUUAUCAUGUGUGAUUUUAUUCAUUACCAUAAUUAGUUAGAUUCUUUAAACCAGUUUUCAAAAACAAUUCUAUUCUAACCUAUACUGUUCAUACUAGAGAGUGCCAUCACUACAACAAAACCUAAUUUAGAUGACCAUUUGGGGGAAGCGGUCAUUCAAAACCGCCGUUGCUGCAAUCCCUACAUUCACAUACCAGCGGUGAAACACAACCGCCUCUGAAGCACAAAUCCAGCGGCAGCCAUCACGCUCGUUCCACGGCGGUUCAUGAAUUCGCGCCAUUACUUGCUCAGACCGCCUAAUUUCUCUUUCCUUCGCACUUCUCGCUAGCUCCACUACCCACUACUAUCUGCCAUGACCCCAAUUUUUCGUUCUUCCCAAACCUAGCGCGCCCAGAACCCCAAGUGCAGUGAAAAGAAAAUCUUCGUUCAAAACGAAAGUCUGCAACAAAUCAUUGAUUAGCAAAAUUAUACGCAUUUGUUCCUGUCCCUGUUGUUUCUCCUUCUUGUUCAUCGCUCUGAACGCACGAAUUUCUCUCCUGGAAGUGCAAAUUUCUGCAAUUUAAGGUUUUUAAUCUGAAAUAGUUAUCCUUUCUGGUCUAUAUUCUUAGCAAAGGGAGCCAAAUUGAGUCAAGACCAACUUUGGCACAGUGAAUGCUGUUUUGUUUGGAAGUAACAUACCUACCUAUUCCAUUUUACUUAUCUGCUGAUUUUUUUUUUUUGAAAAACAAGUAAGUAACAUCUCUUUUCCUAUGGUUGGUAGAUUAGUAUUUUUAAAAAAAUAUAUAUUUACAUAGUUAUUACUAAAUGGUGCACAUGGCUUUAAACCAGAACAAAUUACUUUAAAGCUAUGGAAGUUCUGGAUAAAUCGUGGAUUAAGAGACCACGAAAUUCUCUUGAGUAUGCACAAGGUGUCUCAAGAUUUAUUGAGUUCGCUUUUGCAUUUAAAGGUAUUAUAGUUUUAAAGGUUAAGCUGAUAUGUUUCUUUAAGAUAGAUGUUGAAAUUAUUAAAGAAAAAAAUUACAUAGAAAAAGUGAUAAAAUUUAAAAUUUUUUAUGUAUAUAUUAUGUAUCUAUUAAAAAAAUAAAAAACUUCUAUUAAUAAAUUUUUUUCACAUGUAUAUAUAUCUACAUACAUGUUAGCAAACAAAGCCUUCGUUUUUAAUAUCAGUGUUAUUUGAUGAAGAGGUGAACAUGAUCCGGUCCGAAAAUUCGCUCCGAAUAUUUUUUGGGCUAAUUUAGUGUAAUUUUAUCGAAUUUAGGGUCGGAUAAGGGUUUCAAAAAUAGAUCCAGUUAUUAUGGUCGGGACCGGGUCAAGGUAAACUCGGCUUCAUCCAAUUUCAUGUGCACCUUAAAAGAACUAAAAAAAUAUAUAUUUUUGAAUUAAUUCUAAUAUUAUGUUAUGUUAAUUAUAAGUUUAUUGUUUUAUUUUUAAUCAUAUUUAUUGAAUUAGAAAAUACAUCAAAGAAGCAUGAAAUUAAAAUUUAUGGACAAAUUCAAAUUCAAAUAUAGAUAUUAACUUUUCGAUAAUAAGUAUGUUUUUUUCUUCUUUAUAAAUAAAUGCAUAAUAAUUUUUUGACAUAAAAUAUAUUAAGACCCGGACUUCACUGGGCUAGACCCGAUUUUAGUGUGACCUGAAAGUAGUGUGAUUUUACCAGAUUUAAAAUCAGAUGAGAAUUUCGUAAUUUCACUAAAUUUAAAAUCGGAUAAGAGUUUUAAAAAUAGAUCCGAUUAUUAUUUAGUAUCAGAUUGGAUCAAAAUGAAUCCGACUUCACCCGACUCCGUAUAUACCCUAAUUUGAUAAUUGUUUUUUGAUACUACUCUUUUCUCGACUCUGGUAACAUACAUAACUGGGCUUAUAUAUUGUCCUCUUUAAAGUUGUGAACAGACCAAAGUCUUCCAGUUGGGCCACUGGGCCCACAUGCUAACCUAGCCUCCUGAAGAGAAGAAUAUAUCAUUUAGACUUUCGAUUAUCAAGUCCAAAAUAAAGAGAGACUUUCCAUUAUAUACAUUUAAUUUUUAUUCAAUCUAAAGUUCUAAAAAAUGGCCAACUAGUUAUAGUAAAAAAGGUCAAUUCUGAAGCCCCCGAAUUCAAGUCUAAAAUACAUUUAUUUCCUCUCCUUCUAUUCCGUCUUAUUCUACAAAUUUAAACAGCCUAAACGAAUAAAGUUAAA